GGAAGAAUUCUCUUACUUGUGGUGGCAGCCCUGCAAGUGUGGCAAGAGCAAGACCCUGAGGAAUGACUGUGAGAGCAACGGUGAUCCCCGCAACCACGUCGCCGUGCAGGUCAAGAAGGGAAUAAUGUGGCAGCCACUUGGUGAUGGGCAGCCUGUUCUUCCAGCGCUGCAGGGAGCAGCAACGCUCCUGCAUGGUGCCCAAUAGGCCAUGGCAGGAGAAUGUCGGAGGCUCGUGUUCCCCGUCUGUGGCUGAGUCAUCGUUGUUGUGGUCACCUGAACGACAAGACCCGAGGCUUAGGUCAGAAAAAAUUCUGCACCGAUAAGAUCAGGUAAGGAGCCUCUUAUCAGGACGCUGCCGAAGAAGCUUCAGAGUCCGAAGCGCGAGUUCAUGCAGCACUUCAAGAGCUUGGACGUCAGAGGUACAGUUUGACAUCACGGAACAUCUGGCAUCUUGUUUUACUUCAGACUCCCGAUUAUGUGAAGGUACAAGACAUCUGGCAGCCUUUGUUGCUUGUUCUCAGAAAGCUUACGGUAUUAAGUGAUGCUGACGUACUUUCUUGCAGCAGAGUUAUUUGUUUAACAACCGUUGAAACCCCAGUAUGACAAGCAAUUACGACGCAGACCGAUUUCCAAGCCUUUGUUAGAGCGGAUGCUUGAAAUUAGAAGAGAUCCUUCUAACAGUUUGCACAGUCUGUUACAAGGAUCGCUUCUCAUUAAAGGGGUCUUUUCUAACAAUGGCUUGGAGAUCUGUCAGUGUUGCUGUCGUAAUUGCAGGCCAUACUGGCUCUUCACAGGAUGCAGCUUGUCUUGUGAAUGUCAUUUAUGUCGGUAGUACCUACAAAAUUUAACACAAAGUUAUGGUGUAAUUACUUUAAUGUCUACUUCAAUAAAUAUAAAUUAAAGUUGA